AGAGUUAUAGCCAUAUCUCUGAGAAACUUAUGCAAGUAAAGAAAAGUUGGACUGUAGAAAAGUAGGACAAGGCUAUCACUUUGAGUUAUUUGUGUAAAAUUGUUAUUAAGAUUGGUUUAUAUUCAGCUACUUUGAAUUGUCCAGCACUUUCACUACGUAAAACAGUGAGGUUUCUUGAUUUAUUUGGUUUUUACCUUGCCAACUGACCUAACUCUUUCCUGUAGUUUCUUUCCUCCUUUGCAGUGCUAUGCUAGAUAUAGGGAAGUUUUCCAUUUAUUCUAAUUGGAAAACUUUCCUAAAAAGGCUGGGUCUUUGGUUUUUAAGCUUGGGUUGUUUGUUCAGUAUUGAUUCAAUCACCUUCUUUAGCAAGAGAGCAUAAAAUUUGUUUAACAAUGCAAAUGUCUGGCUUAGCCUGAUUUGCCAAGAUUUCUGGACACAUCUAAUACUGUUUGUAUAUAUCUAUCAUAUUUAUCUGCAUGGAGAUUAUACUGGCCUUGCUGCAGUAUUGAUUCGCACUAGAAAUGUGAUACCCGUAGGUACCAGGAUGCUCAGGUACUAAAAAGAGUUGGUUGAUACUUUGAAUUUCAACAGGAAAGGCCAGAGAGAGACGACAUUAAAAUUCUGCAGUAUAAUUUCUUUUCUACAGCAUAGUCACUAAAAAAUCUAAAACUUAAAUCUUGAUGCUUCUCUGCCCUACCCCCAGAAAAUUUUAUAUUUGAAAAAUGAAGUUAUUUACCAAGAAUUCAAAAAUGUCACCAUGUUUACUGAUUAAGUUGCAUCUCAUAAAGAUUUGGCUCAUUCUUUUAAAUAAGGAGGAAGUUUCUGUCUCAUGGUUUCCCACAGUUGAGUCCCAUUAUGGGUAUUAUAUAAUGUAUAUGAUUCUGACUGUAUUGUGUUUGAGAGCAGGGCAGGACAGCCUCAAUCACAUCAGACGUUCCCAAUUGCUUAUGUCAUAUUUAUCAUUAGUCACCUCCACAAGCUCCUGCUUGUAAGUAAUAGCUAGGUUACUGAGUUCUUAGUAACAGAGAUAUCUUACUCAACUUGGGAAAGAGUUGAAUGGUGCACCUUUCUUCACUAUAUCAUCCUUUUCAAGAAUAUUCUCCUGAGUUCAUCACUGCUUGGUCUGUCUACUCCAUUACCAAGAAAGCAGGAAUUCUCAGCUGUGGCUUUUGGUCAACAGCCACCUGAACGUGAACCAGCAGUGUGCCCAGGUGGCCAAGAAGGCCAACAACAUCCUGGCUUAUACCAGAAAUAGUGUGGCCAGCAGGACUAAGGAGAUGAUUGUGCCCCUGUACUUGGCACUGGUGAGGCCCCACCUUGAACCCUGUGUUCAGUUUUGGGCCCCUUCUUACAAGAAAGACAUUGAGGUGCUGGAGAGAGUGCAGAGGAGGGUGAUGAGACUGGUGAGGUGCCUGGAGCACAAGUCUGAUGAGGAGCAGCUGAGGGAACUGGGGCUGUUUAGCCUGGAGAAAAGGAGGCUGAGGGGAGACCUUAUCACUGUUUGCAACUACGAGAAAGGAGGUUGUAGCAUGGACGGUGUUGGUCUCUUCUCACAAGUAGCAACCUAUAAGAUAAGAGAAAAAGGCCACAAGUUGCACCAAGGGAGGUUUAGGCUGGAUGUUAGGAAAAAUUUCUUCACAGAAAUAGUUGACAAGCACUGGAAAUGCUGCCCAGGAAAGUGGUGGAGUCACCAUCCCUGGAGGUGUUUAAAAGAUGUGUAGAUGUGGCACUUAGGGAACUAGUUUUGUGGUGGACUUCACAGUGGCAGGUUAAUGGUUGAAUGUGAUGAUCUUAAAGGUCUUUUCCAACCUGAAAUGUAGUUCUAUGAUUUACACAUAUGAUUGAUUUUACAUUCAACUAAACUACAACAUUUGUCAGUUGCUGCCUUGAUACUGUAGCAGCUAUACUCCUGUCCUAAAGUGAAGGCAUAUGGAUAACUUUCUAGCUUCAGCAUUGCAAGUUGGAAUACUAGGGGUAUGAUUUCACUUGACCAAAGUUAUCGAAAUGCUGGAAGCAGAGAUUGAUGCCAAAUAGAUGAGCUGAUUAACUAUUUCUAUUUUCUCUCCUAGAUCAGUUAUAUCAAUAAGAAACAUUGAAAAUAUGUCUUUAAAAUAAUUAUUUUUUAAGGAAACAAACAAAUGUAAAGUGCAAUUUGUCUGGUUCUCUAAAAUGUUAACUGAUAGAUAAAUAUGGGGUGACUGUGGUGAGAAAGAUGAGUUUCAAAAGUAAGACAGACUACAGUAUUGUUUCAGUGAUAGAAGUAUGUCUAUAUUUUUCUCAUAACUUUCUAGGAAAAAAAAAAUCUUGUGCAUGUAAUCCUCAGUUUGAAUUUGUACAAGUUAGCUGCCAAUUUAAUAAAUUACAAAAAUAUCGCGAUGUCAGGAUGUUGCCAUGAAAGUAUUGUUCCUGAUAUAUGCUUGACUAUAACAGUAAUAAUACUGUAAAAUACUGCAUAUGUAUCAUAGAUAUGCAUUUUUUCUAAAUCCACUAAGUAUGUGGAAUAAUUCAGCUUCUAUAAUUUAUUUUGUUAAAAUAUACACUGGUUUUAUAGUAUUGAUGAAUGUACAUACACUAAAACUUUUUCUAAUUUUUAACUUCUACUGAAACUGUAGUGUUAUGAUGGGAUGUACAGAGUAAUAGCCUUGGAUUUCCUGAGGCCUUAGCUGGCAGGGUUGUCAAAUUAAACCGGGACAUUUUGUAAAUGUAUCUUUAAUAAAUAUAUAUGUCUGUCAUGCUUCCCUACUCAGUCUUAUAAAUCAGUCUGUAUCUAGCUGUCAGAUACUCUCAACCCAGUUGUCCUAAUCUGUCAAGUAAAAAUUGUGGCAUCUAGGCUUACAUCCUUCUCUGAAAAUAUUUAUUUAUACCAGUGACAUGUCAAGGACACACAAAUUAUUUUUUUCCCCCAACAAUAAAACCAUUAACAUCUGGCUCAAGUCCCUGCCAGGAGGGCAGUGGUUAAUACAUAGAAAGAAUUUAUAAUGGAGGAACACACCAGCCAAGCAAAAAUAAAUGCUGGAUAGAAUUUUAAAAAAUUCUUGCUAAAUGCCAGAUAUUGAGAAUUCAGGUUUUUCUUAGUCCGUUUGCUAUAGUAAUUUUGUGCCACUCCUCAUCCUCACCCUCACUGACCUAUAGAGAAGCCUACACUGCUGUGUUGCAAAGAGGUGUAAAGGUUGCCUCCAGGCUUUGUUUCUCUGCAGUAUCUAGUAAUUAACCAUUACAGUUCUAAUAACACGUCAGACACAUCAUAAACUAUUGCUGUAACUUGAGAGAAGGAGUUAACAAGCUAUGAAGAAUAUGAAGUUAUUGCUUAUCCUACUUCCAUCAGCUCUCCCUGAACAGAGAAGGACAUCAGAGGUUGAGAACUGGAGGAGGAGGAAAAAAGAGGAUGAAGGAAUCCUUGGUAUUUUUGAAAGAAUAAAGCUUUUUAUUACAUAUGCACGAACAGAUGCUAAAGAACAUUGCUUGUCACUUUUGUUUUUUAGAAAUUUUAGACUACACUCUAUUUAAAACAACUACUAUAAUUCACCUGCAUUCAGCUUAAGACAGAAAGAAAAUUAAUCUUAAUGCUUUGAAACCUUUUUCCAGAUAAUUAAAGAAUCAAAAUCCCAGUUCACUUCGAAGUUGCAACUAAUUCUAAUAAUCUUAACAACAUAUUUUAUUUUUUGUUUUUGGUUGGUUGGUUUUGUUUGUUUUUUCUGUCUCUGAGAGGAGUAAUUUCUCAACUACUUUUUUUUUAGGUGCGAAAGUCUCAGCUUUAUUUUGAGCUUUCCAUUUAUGUGUUCAUGUUAGCUGUUUUCUGUGUUCUGCAUUUUUUUGCUUAAAGGGUUUAUUCAGGUAAGCCCUGUAAGAUGAGAUUUAAUUUCCUCCCCUUUUUGCUGUAGUGAAAGUGGGAGAAUUGCCAACUGUCUAAAAAUCUUUAGAGAAAAGCUUGGAUUUCAGUUUGACAUAUUAUGAGAAGAUACUUGAGUUCUGGACCCCUUAUUCUGGAUAUACUAGAGGAAUCAUGGAGUGAAGUUCAUGUGCCUCAUCAGUCUGGAGGUCUGUUCUUUCAUAAGUCAAGGACCAGCAGGACAGGACACAACAUGAGAGACAUAGGUAUUGACACUUCCUCUAGAAAUCUGCCAUAGCUUGUCUUGAUCACGGUUUAAAAUAAGGCAAUAACUCUGCUUUCUAUGGAAAAAAUCUCUGAAGAAACUGCUUUCAGAAGAAGGGUGAUACUUUCUCAAUAGUAAUGCCUGUUGCCUCCAUGCCAGCUGUGAGUGGAACUGGAGUGAAUGCAUUGCAUAUGGGAAAAGAGAAUGGGAAUAGCCUGGGCAGGAAGCAACAUUGCCUCAUGAUCUUGAAAGGGAGUUAUUCAUUUUGGAAUCCCCCCAGGUGUAUGACAGGGAAUUGAAGUUAUCACAAAUUAAAUCUUUCAUCGAUGGCAUUUAACUAGUUUUCUCCUUCUCUGACAGGCUGUCUUAUUUAACAGAGAAUAUAAUCAUUUUUUUAAACCUCUUUAUGACUGUUUUAAUAAUAUUAUUUAUAAUGAGAUUUUGGAGAAUUGAUACAUGGUAGCUGAAGUGAAAAAAAUUAUCCUGAAAAUAAAGCAUUUUUAAAAAGCAUAUAAUGAAGGUGGGUUUGAUUUCUCUCGUAUGGGUAACUUUUAUAUUGAUAUAACUGUUUGUUCACUUUUCUUAAAAGCCCCAGGCUAAUUCAAGCAUAACCAUUCAAUUUAAGGCAGGACCUGAUGAAGAGCAGUCCUAAUGGCUAUGAUGGAUGUUCACUGUGAUCCUUUCUGCCCUUGAGAUCUGUGUAUAUCUGAGCUAACCACAGCCUACAAGAGUUUGGAAACUAGAUAAUUAAAUAACUGCAGUGAUGUAUUGAAACAGCCACACAAUGUAGCCUUCUUUUAUGAUGAAUCUUGCAAAUUGGGAGGAUUUGCUUUUAAUUCUUCUAGAUGGUGUGGGAGAAGACCAGCAACUUUUGGGCUUCAUUUCCUUCUCCUAUAAACACUUACAGAUUUUCUUUGGUUUCCAGUGAGAAGGCUCACUGACAUGCAGAGGGACUACUCAGGGGCUUAAAUUUAAGCAGGUAAAUAUGACUUCGUGUAAGGCAUCAGCUAUUAAAAUGGAUGAAGACUUUAACAGUUCUUAUUGAUGAAAGAAGAUGUAUUUCUCAUGGUUAUUUAUAAAAGCUGGACAUGAAAAAAUAGAAGAGAUAAAGAAGAUUUGCUUCUAUUUUGAAAAAAGACCUUCAUGAAGGGUAAGCCAGUUCAGCAUUUCAAACUUGCUGGUCUAUGCACCUUUGGAUCAGUAAAGCCCACAUGGAGUUGAGUUACAUACGGACUGGACCAGUCCCAGAACUGACACUGAGCACAAGUGUAAAGUGCUGCACUCAAAACAGAGGAGACAAGCAAAGGAAAAACAAUGGCAAGCCACAUCUUCAAAAAAUGCAAAGAAAGAACAUUUGCAUUUGGAUGAAUAAUGCAAUCAAUACUGUUCCACCUAAUAUGUGAAAACUUUGCCAUGUGGUGAUUACUAGCAAAACUCAAGAGUCAUUGAGAAGGAAAACCUGCUCAGAUAUCUAAUUUAUGAACUAUGCUUUGUAAUCCAUAGAGAUAAUGCUUUCCUUAUACUGUCGCUUCCUUUACUUUCUGGCUGCUACCUAUCUUUUUGUAAGCUUUAAAGCCCCAUUAACUUCAUGGGUAUUUCUUCCUUAUGAGCUCCUGCAAAGGGGAACAGCAUGAGCAUGAAUAGGAGAUGACCUGCUAAUAGGGUGUGUGGGGUUGUUUUGCUAUUGAAAUAUGAGACUUAGCCUGAAAAACAUUAAGAGACUAUUUGCUAGUCCUUUCUCUCACCAUGAAUAUUUGUCACGUUCACUAAGUUAUGUGUAUAUGCUUAUUCUUAAAUGUUUCAACCAAGAGAGCUUCUAACAGUUUCCUUGAAGGAUUUUUCUACAAUCCAGUGAACUUCAGGUGCUCAUUCUCAUUUUUAUCCCAUUCUAAUUUACAAGUUCCUUUUGAAGUCCUCAUUACUUCCUUUUCUCCUUUGUGCUUCUGUUAUUAUUGAAAUGUGCGUCAUUGUGGUUUUUUAAUCUUUGUCUUAGUCUUUUCUCAUUUCCUAACUCUGUGUUGGUUCGUGAUGUAGAGGAGCAUACAACUGAGUCUUUCAGUCUUGCUUCAUUACGAAACUUUAAUGGGAGAAUAGCAUUUGUCCAGCCAAAUACUUGUCCCACCUACACUUACACUGUGCUUUUUCUAGACCGAAGCACAGAUCUCACUUUCAAUGCUUACAAGUUUACCCCUCAGCCCUGCUACCGCUCAGCACUAAUUUUGAUCAGGCAUCUGGACCUUUCUACCUGCCAAGGAGGCUGUGGACCUCAGAAAUGGUUUCUGGAGGAAUGAGGAGUAGUUCCUAAGGAUACAGCUGCAGCUCAGAACCCCAACUGUUUGUUGGGCAACCUCCUUGCCUGUUGUUUAACUAUAGUGUUAUGCACUCAUAAAGUGCUUUAUAAGCAGGAAUAAAAUGUUGUGAAUUCUUAAUCAGAACUGCUAAUCACAACUUUUACAUAUGUUUGUAUAAACACGUGUUAAGAGCUAGGCCACUUUCCACAUUAAUAGAAACCUUUUACUGUCUCACUAGUUUUAACAGAAAUAGAGUAGGGUAAGAAUAAAACAGGUUUGGAUUUGUCUCCAGAGGAAAAAAUCCAGCUCCAGCAUUUGAGGCUACAUUGUAAAACACUUGUUCAGAUACGACUUUCGAACUUACUGAAGAUUUACAUUGUAAAAAUUACAAACAGGAAGAGAUGUUAGGAACAUUAGCAGUUUUUCACAGAUGUCAUUAUCAAAAGCAGUAUCACUGACACAGCCACUGAAAGACGUAUCAAACUAAAGAACAAGUGAAAGAAGAACAUCAAGUCAAAGAUGAAAGCAAUUUCAACUGCUGCUUACUAUUAUGAUAUGGACAAUUUCCAUAGAUGCUAAAGGCCCAGAGCGGAUUCUGGUUUUAUUAGGCACUCUACAAACUAUUAGAAAGACACUGAAAGGGUAAGACUUACCAAGUGUGUGUAAUUGCUAGAAAGGAAAAAAAUUAUGUUCCUGGACUAUUUGCAAUCAUGUCAUGUGAUCACCUAGGUUUGCAGAACAUUCACUUUGAUGUUUUGGAUUUAGUGAGUCUGCCUAAGUUUACUGUUCAGUCUGCUAGAAUAAUAAUUAUUCUAUAGAUUACCUUAGUGUUUGCCACUUCCAUUAACCUCAGUGGCAGCAAGCACGUUGACUCUUUUCUUAUGGAUUUACAUGGAUUUGUAUCACCCUUUUCACUUCCUGUAGCUAAGUAGAAUUGGAAAAUCACCAUCUCCAGUAACAUAACAGUAUGUUAUGCGACUAUGAUCUUUAUUUUAUUCUCCUUAUCAGUUAUUCUGAAUUAUCCUGCCCUCUCCUCUUCCCAGAUUCUGAAAAGGGCCCUCAUAAAAGCAGCAAGCUACUGGAAUGUGUAGCUCCCAGGAACUUUAAAACAAGUGAUAGAAGUGUUAUUAACUUGUGAAGAUAUGUGGGUGACAUGGAAGUAAAUUAUCCUGGGAUGUACAUCUUUGUGAACACGCUAUUUUAAGGCAGUUAUGAAUGACAAGGAGUCACAGUAUUUGCGCUACUCAAGGAAAAACAGUAGUGGUUUGACUUCAGCCUCUUUGUAUCUAGUUUCUUAUGCAAUGAAGCGUAAUUUUACCUAAUGUUUGCAGUUCUUUACAUUAUUUUCCUCAUGUAACUCAGCACCUCUCUUUUUCAUCCCAGUGCUAUGGUUGGAUUGCUGUAUCUGACACAAUUCCUUAUGGCCCAGCUCAGCCUUCAGAUACACAGGCACAGAUCCCAGUGUAGUCAAUGGGAGAUGCCCUUGGAUAUUUGAGAGUGGGUUUUUGGCCUUUAGCCUUAACACAAACAAAUAUGUUAUAAAUUAUUUUAAACUUAUAUUACCAAAGAACUAGCAUUUCUGCAGUGCAGAUUAUUCUAUUUAUUCUGUAUCAAUCAUUAAUCUUUUCAGAAAAUGUUUACAAGUGAAGUCACAUCUCAUAUCUGAUUAACUGAAUUAUACAUAUGAAGUAUGACCAUCUUAGAAUUCAGUAGCAGAGACUAAAAAUGUCUUUAGGAAUUCAAUCAAAUUUAUGCAUUUGUAUGCAGUGAGCAAUUUGGCUUUAAAAUUUGUAGUACACGUAAAAAAUCAAAUUGAAUUUUCAAAGACCACAUUGUUUAGCAUGGGGUUUUUAAAUUUAGCAUAAUCUAUUUCUUCCUCUGCCUAUAAAAAAAAUGUGAAUUAUUUAUGUUACCUGUAUUCAGUGACCUGUAGAUGAACCUUCCCAAACCACAGAUGGCCUGCUAGAGCACAAAUAAUAACAGUCCAUUAUUAGGCGCUGUGCACAAGUGUCUAAAUUAAUCUCUCAAAGCUGUAAUUACAGGUAAUGUUAGAUUUAAUUUGUCUGCAGUACAUGAUUUGUUGGUAAAUAUGACAUUUUGACCAGUCUCAGAAAAAUCAUUAAAUUGGAGCUCUCUGAUACUAAAGAAUCAAACGCCAUAUAAGCGAUCUUCCAUGUAUGCUUUGGGCCUGAUACUCAGAGCAAUUCUGUGGCCUUCGCCUCUGAUAUGUAGCAUCUAUUUUAAGUUACUGUCAUUAGAUUCUUCUCCUGCUUUUCAUUAUGCACAAUACUAAUACAUUAUCAGAGGUUCAAAUAAUUUUCCCCUACUCACCACUUAGCUCCUAUGUUUACUUUCUCUACAGGACAAAACCAAGUUUGAUUUUUAACUUGUUCUCUUUUUUUUUUUUUUUGUCUUAGAUGUAUGUGAAAAACACUCCACAGAGAUAUGAAAUUGGCAGUAUUAUGAAUCUUUGUUGUCUGAUUUGAGGCUUCUGGGGAAGGGAAAAUACUUUAUACAAAAUUUAGAUCUGACUGGGUUUCAGCUCCAUGCAGAGAAAAUGCAAAUUAGUUUGAUUUGCUGACAAAAAAAACCGACAUUAGGUCAUAGAAAAUUGGAACAUCAACUACUAUAACUUCAUUAUUUUACUCUUGUGACCAUUUCUGAUAUUCACCUUGCAAACAUUUAAGACGAUGUGGACCCCCUUCACACUGCCUCAAGUGGCAGUUAUGUUCAAGGUUAUGAGAUGUGAGCAGGAUGUGUUCAUAUCCCCUCCUCUUCAAUUUCCAGUACUAUUACAUCAAAAAUUGUUAGCAUAUAUGCAUGUCUCUCCCUCUUAUCUCCCUCUUCACUAUAAAGCUUAAUCCUCAACUUCAAACAGCUCAUCCUUUGACUUCCCAGUACAGAUCCUGGAAGGUAAACAUAUGCAAUCUUGCUAUAUUAUUUUGGGGAAAUCUUUAUACCAUGUCAAUGAAACAGAUGUAAUGAUUCCUACACAGGUUGGAAACGUAUUGUCAAUUUACUCUUUACAACUUUUGAGAGCUCAGGAGGAAACACAAUUGCAGGGUUAGGUUUAGAGAAUAGUGACUAUAGGACAGAUUAACCAGAAAACUACUGAACUGCUUGCACUCAUGGUAUCCACCUCCUGUUGAUAUCCAGUUCAGUACUAUGUGGUGUUGGAAAUUUUUUUCGUCUGAUUAAGAGACAUGAGUAGAUUCACUUCCCUCUCCUUUCCUUUCAGCUAGGGUUUUUGUAGUCUGCAGGCUGCCUAAGAUGACACAGACCACAUGGAAAAAGUAUACAACAAUGAAUUCCUUAAACAGUAGAGACUGACAGGCAUAACAGAAAGGAAUUAAAUAGAACGAUACGUCCGAAAUUAUUAACAGAUAAUGAUUCUGUCUUACUUGUCUUCCUCCCUCCCCUGAAUAUUAAUAUUUUUUUUUAAAUGGCAGGAAAAGCAAUGCAGAAAACAUAAGAAUUAAUCUGUGCAUCAAAACAAAAUAGCCAGGAUAUCCACAAGUUUCUGGGAUCUGGCAAAAGAUCCAAGAGUUUCUACAGGCUUCUGGGGUCUGAACAUAUGCCUGGAGGAUUUUGCACUAAUAUAUUUGGAAAAUACUCAAGUCACAUAGGUGGCCCAAUGAGUGUGAGCCAUAUUGAGUGAAUUAUGAAUCCUUGUGUUCAGUUUCAGUUGUUGGUUUCUUUUGCCCUGUAUGCUUUCAAAGAUCUAAUAAAUGCUGAAGAAUGACUGUUGCUUGAGAAUUCAGUAUAGGUGUCUCAGUCUGUCUUUAAAACAAGCCAGCUGAAUGAAGGCCCAGCAUUUUUGACUAAAGGUACUAUACUUGCUAACUUUUUGUUUGGACGUUUAAUUACAAUCAAAGUACAGCUAAUUUAGUAGAAUUUUCAGUAUUAGCAUGACUGUCCUUAUCACAAACCAUCUGUGUAGCCCAUACAUCAUCUGGUUACAAGAGACACAAAGGAGUGGCUUGUAGAUGUUAUACUUACUGAUGAGAUGCCAAGAUAUGUAACAAGAAAAUAUAGUAGCUCUCUGGCUCUGUGGUACUAGAUUUCAAAAACCACAGGCUAUUCAAACAGCCGGUUGAAAGCAGGGGAUUGUUUUUUUCUCAGAAUAUCAAUUACAUUUUUGGGUUGUGUAGCUGCAUAGUUACCAAAGGAACUAUUAAAUGUAGCCAAAGGACCUAAUAAAACAAAAUUAUCAUGUGACUGCUGUCACAAUUCGCUUUUAUUUGCUGCAUAAAGUGCAGGUGUUUACUUAUUCCACCACUGGAAAGUCUUAAGAUCUCAAAGUUUAGAUCUGUGUCUUUCUAAAGCCAUUAGCAUUUGACUCAAGCCUGCUCCCAUGAAGAAAAGUCAAACAGAAUGGCAGACAUAAGCUACGUUCCCUGGAUACCCCAAAUGGGGACCCUAACGUUUGUGUAGACAUCCAGCUGGCUCCAUUUGCAGAAGUGACAAGCACCAAGUGGCCUUCCAUGGUGAGCUUUGAACCAGACUGAGAUACAGAGCUUUGAUUUAAAAAUUGUCAGCUGAGCAGAAAUCAGCAUGGCCCACUGAUGUGCUGCCUUCCAGCCUGGUGCUCAGGAAGGGCUGUGGAGCCACACAGCUCCCUGGCCAAAACUGCAGCUGCUGAAAUGCUGUAGAUCCUUGAUCUUGGACCAAUAGAGCUGCUCGUCUGUUCCUUGAGGAGCUGAGCCUGUAGGGAGGUGAAACCCUGUAAUACAAAGGAACCGGUAGUUUAAAAAAAAAAAGAUUACUACCAGAACACCUACUGAUGAAAGACUGUAACAGGGAUACUGGCAGUCUUUGGAAAGCAUUCCCGGCUGUGUUUUUAAUAACAUCAGCCUACAGAAUGAGAAUAUGUACUCCACUGAGUUGUAAUAACACUCAGGAAUGUAUUAGCCCACAAACUGAACAUCGUAAAACUGUUGUUUUCACAUUUUACUAAUAAAAUGCCAUGGCAUUGUAAAUCUGUUUUUAUUUUAUUUGUAAUGGCAGAAAUGUGUUUAUCAUAAAAUCAAAUCCUCUUUCAAAAUUCAGGCCAUAGGACAAUGAUAAAAUUCAUCCUGUUCAGGGUCAUGGUUUGCAUCACUCUAGUUCAAACAAAAAAUUGCAAUAUUCUACUUAAAAUCUUUUACUUUCAAUAUGUAUUAUGAAAUUCAAAGCACGUCCGGGUCUGUGCUGACACUGCAGUUUGUGGCAAGGAGAAUCAGAAGCAUAUAAAGCAGUUAAAUGACAAUGUGUGGAGCAAAGCACGACUAUCUGGAAUAUUUGUGACAGGGGACAGGUGUGAAAUGGCAAACAGAACUGAUAGGUCAUGGUAUAAUUAAAUGUGUUCAAGUUUCAGCUUAUCAAAGUUUCCUUUCAUUCAAAGUACCAAAGACCCAGGUACCUGUUAAUUAAGUUUAAAAUUAUGCUUCAGUCUACAAAUAAUGAGGUUAUAAUAAUAUAGUUCCUUCAAAAAAGGCCAUUCUGUUGCACACUUUUGUGAUACAAAUAUAUAUAUAUGUAUGAGCACUGAAUCUUUAUAGAACUAUAAAUGUGUGUGAAUUUGCAAUGAAGAAAUUAAUGUGAUUAGAUCUGUAAGUGCAGUCUUCAAUGGUUCAGUUGUUUUGAAAUUUCACACUCACGUAGAAUAUUCAGCAAUAAAGCAUACCAAAUCAGGAAAGAACUACAAACUCAUUGUGGAUUGCAACAUAGAUGUUCUUUUAUAAAUCAUGACAAAGAAAGCUUUUUAGAAGAUAAUGGGACUCCGUCACAUCCAAAUAGAAGGUACCAUGCAAUAAACUAUUAUUUUCUCAUUCUCUAGUCUUCCUGGUAUGGUGCCUGAAGUACAAAGUGUAGGGGUUUUUGGAUAUAAUAUAAAUCAUGAAUGGGAAUACUAUAAUUGUAACAAAAUAGAACCGUAAAUCUCUGUAUUAAUAGAACAUUUUGGUCUCUGCAGUUGAUUUUUCACUGGAGAGGGCAACAAUUUCAUCGUAUUCCACUUGAGAGAGCUGACCCCUUCAUAAUAAGUGCCCACUACACUAUGAGACGUUGGAUACUAACAUCAAGUAAAUGCUCUUCAUGGCUCUGUCAUUUCCUUCUGGGAACCACCUAAACCAAUUUCAAUGGAGAGCUGAAAGUGGGAAAAUCAUCCCAAAGACAAGGGGAAAAGACCAAACACACUUGAGGUUACCAGAAAAGGAUGACGUUUAACUAGCCUCUGAGCUGAAUCAGCCUCUCAUGUUUUCAUUAUCUUCUAUUAAUCUCAUAUAGCUCUGACAGAAAGAUUAGACUGCAGGAUUUUUUUUUUCUAGACUGAGAGGGGCUCUGGUGAGAUUGUCUCAAACUUGUUUAAGAACCCAAGCAUGCAGAAUACAAUUUAGGAUACAAACUGAAACAUGCCAUUGAUACAAAAUUUGUGAUAAAAUUACAUUACAGCAGCUCAAUCUGAAAGAAUCUAUGUUGUUCCUUUGUAUAAAACAUAUUGUACCAGACUCUCAGUGGGGAUACGUUUUUAUGGCUCAUUCACUUUCACAGAGCUACACAAGGUGAGGAUCUUGCCUAAUACAGAUUUACUUCAUAAUAUUCCAACAAGGGAUUUAAUACAGGAUUACAUGUGUAUUUCCUCUCUUACCACUUACAUUGCAUUCUCUGUGUGUCCUUAAGAUAUCUAUAGACAACUGAAACAGAGGUUACACAUUGAUCAAUACUAGAAAGUGAAAAAAGGGAAAAAGUCUAGUCAGACAAGGUAAAUCAAGGUAGUAGAUGCAUCUUUGAGAAAUAAGAUGUGUUUCAAGGGAGCUCAAAAUGGUGAGAAAGGCUUGUGAACAUCCAUAGCCUCUAAAUCUCUGGGAUUGCUUAUUCCAAACUGUCUUUAAAACAGGAUGUUUCACUGUUGAAAUGCUUUGAACAGAGGAUUCAAUCAAACAGGAAGGCUCCUUGCAUUGAAGAAGAUUGCUAAAGACUGCAUUCAGAAUUUGUUGUAAAAGUGGCUCAAAUUAUAUCCUUCAAAGUCUUACUUCCCUUUUUUAAGAUUUUCCAGUCCUCAGGUUAUGAAAAUAUCCUGAGGACAUUUCAGAAGUGCACAAAUCUACCUCUCUCAAGCAGUUUGAAGUAUAGAAGUCAUUAAUUAUUCAGUGGAAGUUAUUGGAGGUCUGCCAUGGGUAAAUUCAGGCAAAUGCCUGGGAACACAGUACACAUGUGGGUGUUAAAAAUUUACAGUUUUAGAAAAAAAUCCAUGCUAAAUAUCUCACAAAUAUCUAUACCUACUUGCACAAUCAGUGAGUCUGUUUAAAUUACUAAUAAACUUCCAACAUCUCCCUGGAUAUGCUGCAGAUUUGGAUGACUAAUCCUGCACUUGAGGAGCUUAGUAAAAGUUUAAAAGGAUGAUGUAUCAUAGGGGAUGCAAUUCGGCUAGGCAAUUCAGCAUAUAGGGAAAGAGAGUCCUGAGAUCUCAGAACUGGAAUUCCCAGGAGGUGUAUCAAAGCACUUCCAAGUAAAUUUUAGAGUUUGCAAAAUAAUAUUUUCCUUAUUAUGGUUCCAUCUGUGUCAUGGUUUAAAUCCAGUUGACAAUCAAGCACCGCCUAGCUGUCACUCACUCCUUCCUGGUGGGAUUGGGGAGAGAGAAGAGUAAAACUGAGAAAACGCAUGAGUUUGAAUCAAGUCAGUUUAAUAGGUAAAGCAAAAGCCAUACACACAAGCAAAACAAAACAAGGAAUUACUUUAGUACUUCUUAUGGGCAGGCAGGUGUUCAGUCAUCUUCAGGGGAUCAGGGCUCCAUCAUGCAUGAUGGUGACUUGGGCAGACAGACACCGUAACCUCAAACAUCCCCCUCUUCCUUCUUCCUCCAGCUUUAUAUGCUGAGUAUAACAUCAUAUGUUAUGGAAUAUCCCGUUAGUCGGUUCGAAACAGCUGUCCCAGCUGUGCCCCCUCCCACCUUCUUGUGCACCACCAGCUCACUCACUGGUGGAGCAGUGUGAGGAGAGCAAAGGCCUUGGCUCUGUGUGAGCGUUGCUCAGUGAUAACUAAAACAUCCUUAUGUUAUCAAUACUGUUUUCAACACAAAUCCAAAACAUGGCCCCAUACUAGCUAAUAUGAAGAAAAUAAACUCUAUCUCAGCCAAAACCAGCACAAGGUAAAAAAAUCACUUUUUAAAGCACAAAGAUUUUAGGUAAAACAUUUUUAGACAGUUAAAACUAUUUAUGUCAUGAAGUCCAUUUUCUAGUCUGCUCUAGUGACUGGCGAACCUGGUGUAAUCAGAUCAAUUCUCUGUUCAGUGGCAAAGAAUUACAAUGGAAGCAAGUGAUAGUCUUAUGAAUUUAAAAGAAAGAUCUGUAAAAUGGAGGGAGAGAAGACCUUUUGUUUCCCUCUUGCAGGGCUUGAAAGAAUAAAUGAAGUCAUAUUUAUCACAUACUUAAAACCUGGAGUUGGAUGGGAAAGACAAAUAUGCUUUCAACAAUGAAAAACACAAUCAUGGUUUGUAAUCCCGCUAGGACUGACAAAGUAUGAUAAUAUUUAACAUCUAACAUAACAUGUUGUUUAUAGUGACAGAAAAACAGAAAGAGUUAAGAAGUAAAAAUAAUGAUUUAGUUUUAGUAACCUAGUUGAAUAGAUUGUAAGGAAUCCAGAAAUUAAAGAUUUAAUUAAAGAGGAGUUGACUACAAAAACAUGGUACAAGAUAGGUGAGUCCAGAUGUCAGAGUAAAGACAAUUGCAGAUAUAAGUAACAAAAAUUGGAAUGCCUAAUUAGAUGCAUGUGCUAUGGUUCUUUAAAAAUUCAAAGUUUACCUGUAUCUACAUGUCUGCUGGGAAAGAUGUUGAACAGGCAAUCUUCUGCAUUGAUUCUCUUAAGUACUUUCUGAUUUUUUCUCUCUCUGGUCACCAGUGAUAGGACAAGAGGAAAUGAUAUGAAACUGCAUCAGACGAAGUUCAGACUGGAUUUUAGGAGAAGGUUCUUCACUGAGAGGGUGGUCGGUCACUGGAAAGAAUCCGCAAGGAAGCAGUCACAACACCAACCCUGUCAGAGUUCAAAAAUGUCUGGAUGAUGCUCUUAGUGAGGUCAUUUAUUUUUAGCUAGUCUUGUGAGGAGCAGAGAGUUGGACUCAGUGGUCUUUAUGGGUCCUUUCCAACUCAAGAUAUUCCAUAAUUUUGUUAUUCUAUGAUUCUGUAGCUCACAUGCAUACUUCGGUAUAUUGACGCUUCUUCUAAAGCGACAUAUCUUUCUUUCUCCUUUUUACUUCUCCAGAUAUUCAAAUCUAAUUUUUUUUUCUUCUUGAAUAAGUAAUUAUGUUUGGCAACUGUGGCUAUAUAGAAGUUUUCCAGCUGUUAAAGGUGUCUCCUUGAUUUAAUAUUUAUAUUUUUUAGUGCCCCACACAAAAGCUCUUUCCCAUCUUGUCAUCUGUGAAAUGAAUGGGGAAGCCCUUUCUUCUGGAAAGUCCAUGAGAAAUUCUGCAGUGAAAUCAAUUCAGAUCAUCUGAAACACCUCAACAGCCCUUAUGCUUUGUAUCCAUUGCAACAUUCCCUUUCGGUGAGAGCAACUGUACACUCUAUCACAGAGAACACUGUGUAAAAGCCACACAAGACACCUUUCCACAGUUUUUCAGCCUCUUCUUCAGCAGAAUGUACACCAAUAUUUUGAAAAUGCUGCCUUGACUUGUCCUCAUGGGUUUGUCAUCAGAUUGAGUGCUUGACCAUGUACAUUAAUUCUUGUCCCUCAGGAAAGCACAUAAUAGUAUGUCUCCUAUUACUUAUAGUUUCAGGGGACAAGGUUCAUUGCUCUGAUCUUUCAUGGGACAACUGUCCCAUUGUCCCAUUCUGCUGGAAAUAACCGGUUCCCCAUCCAUAACUGAAUCUCCAGGGAGUGCUGCAGUAUAAAUAAUAUACAAAUUCUGUGAAGAAAAUCAAUACAACAGUUUUCUUUUCUGACAAAGAAGGAUAGUAUGUCUGCCAAUAAAGAGUUUCAUUGUCACACUAGGUAAAUUGGAUGAAUACAAUCCAAAUUGUAGGAGCUUAACUUUGCUAAAACUGAUAUUGCACAGAAGAGUAUUGGCCUCAGAAUUUCUACAUCUGUUUUCAACUUAACUUUAUUUAUGGUUUGGGAAACAACCUCUCACAAGUCCAAUGUGGUGUGAUUGUCUCAUUAUAUUUGUAAAGAAAUAGGAGUGAGGGGUGUGGUUGUGCUUAAUGUACACUGUCCUUAACAUAUGGUCAGUGUGGUAGCUAAUAGAAAGGUGUUAGGCAGCCUGCACUUAACCGCGUUCUUUAACGAUCAUAAUACAGUGCUAUGCCAGUCUAAACAGUACUAAACAAUAUUUAAAAAAAAAAAAAAAAAAAAACACCCCACAAAACCAAACAUUUGGAAUGAAUUGCAAUUGCUGUUUUGUUUUGGGCUAAAUCAGAGAAUUCUGAAAUGAGAAAUGCUGUGAUCCAACAUUCCUCAAAUUGAAGGAGA